rnacentral:rRNA from 1 species
CUAGUUCUACGGAACAACAGAGGGAAACUUCUGCUAAUACCGUAUACGCCCUAUGGGGGAAAGAUUUAUCGGAAUUAGAUGAGCCCGCGUAAGAUUAGCUAGUUGGUGAGGUAAUGGCUCACCAAGGCGACGAUCUUUAGCUGGUCUGAGAGGAUGAUCAGCCACACUGGGACUGAGACACGGCCCAGACUCCUACGGGAGGCAGCAGUGGGGAAUAUUGGACAAUGGGCGCAAGCCUGAUCCAGCCAUGCCGCGUGAGUGAUGAAGGCCUUAGGGUUGUAAAGCUCUUUCAGUAGGGAAGAUAAUGACGGUACCUACAGAAGAAGCCCCGGCUAACUUCGUGCCAGCAGCCGCGGUAAUACGAAGGGGGCUAGCGUUGUUCGGAUUUACUGGGCGUAAAGCGCACGUAGGCGGAUUGGUCAGUUAGAGGUGAAAUCCUGGAGCUCAACUCCAGAACUGCCUUUAAUACUGCCAGUCUCGAGUCCGGAAGAGGUGAGUGGAACU